rnacentral:lncRNA from 1 species
UUUCCUGAUCGUGCUCGAGGCGGCAGAUCCGGCGCUCCAGAUCGAGGGCAACCGCAUCCUCUUCCUCCUGCCCGUCCUCGUAGUAGUACUCCCCGUCGUUGCAGCGGAGCUCAGGGUAGUACCCGCCACCAUCGCCAUCGACGUAGCCGUCCUCGCCCUCGAGUAGCAGGAGGUCCUCUUCCUCCUCGGCGGCGUUCUGCGCGAGCAGGUCCUCGCCCUCGCCCUCGGGAAGCGGGAUGCCGAGGUGGAUGAACUGCAGCCUGUACUCGCG